UGGGGAAUCUUGGACAAUGGGGGCAACCCUGAUCCAGCCAUGCCGCGUGGGUGAAGAAGGCCUUAGGGUUGUAAAGCCCUUUCAGUCGUGACGAUGAUGACGGUAGCGACAGAAGAAGCCCCGGCUAACUCUGUGCCAGCAGCCGCGGUAAUACAGAGGGGGCAAGCGUUGUCCGGACUUACUGGGCGUAAAGCGCACGCAGGUGGUAACGCAAGUGGGGUGUGAAAGCCGCCAGCUCAACUGGCGGAGGCCAUCCCAAACUGCGUCACUUGAGGCCUGUAGAGGUAUGUGGAAUUGCCGGUGUAGUGGUGAAAUGCGUAGAGAUCGGCAGGAACACCCAGGGGGAAGCCAGCAUACUGGACAGGUCCUGACACUCAGGUGCGACAGCGUGGGGAGCGAACCGGAUUAGAUACCCCCGUAGUCC
rnacentral:rRNA from 1 species